rnacentral:rRNA from 1 species
GAUGAACGCUGGCGGCGUGCCUAAUACAUGCAAGUCGAGCGAACGGACGAGAAGCUAGCUUUUCUGAUGUUAGCGGCGGACGGGUGAGUAACACGUGGAUAACCUACCUAUAAGACUGGGAUAACUUCGGGAAACCGGAGCUAAUACCGGAUAAUAUUUUGAACCGCAUGGUUCAAAGGUGAAAGACGGUCUUGCUGUCACUUAUAGAUGGAUCCGCGCUGCAUUAGCUAGUUGGUAAGGUAACGGCUUACCAAGGCAACGAUGGAUAGCCGACCUGAGAGGGUGAUCGGCCACACUGGAACUGAGACACGGUCCAGACUCCUACGGGAGGCAGCAGUAGGGAAUCUUCCGCAAUGGGCGAAAGCCUGACGGAGCAACGCCGCGUGAGUGAUGAAGGUCUUCGGAUCGUAAAACUCUGUUAUUAGGGAAGAACAUAUGUGUAAGUAACUGUGCACAUCUUGACGGUACCUAAUCAGAAAGCCACGGCUAACUACGUG